rnacentral:rRNA from 1 species
AUUGAACGCUAGCGGGAUGCUUUACACAUGCAAGUCGAACGGCAGCGCGAGGUAAGCUUGCUUACUUUGGCGGCGAGUGGCGAACGGGUGAGUAAUGUAUCGGAACGUACCCAGUAGCGGGGGAUAACUACGCGAAAGCGUGGCUAAUACCGCAUACGCCCUACGGGGGAAAGGGGGGGAUCUUAGGACCUCUCACUAUUGGAGCGGCCGAUAUCGGAUUAGCUAGUUGGUGAGGUAAAGGCUCACCAAGGCUGCGAUCCGUAGCUGGUUUGAGAGGACGACCAGCCACACUGGGACUGAGACACGGCCCAGACUCCUACGGGAGGCAGCAGUGGGGAAUUUUGGACAAUGGGGGCAACCCUGAUCCAGCCAUCCCGCGUGUGCGAUGAAGGCCUUCGGGUUGUAAAGCACUUUUGGCAGGGAAGAAAGGGCGCUGGUUAAUACCUGGCGUUGAUGACGGUACCUGCAGAAUAAGCACCGCUAACUA